CCUGGUGGCUUAGAUGGUAAAGCGUCUGCCUGCAAUGCAGGAGACCCAGGUUCGAUCCCUGGGUCAGGA
rnacentral:tRNA from 1 species